CCUACGGGUGGCAGCAGUGAGGAAUAUUGGUCAAUGGGCGGAAGCCUGAACCAGCCAAGCCGCGUGCAGGAUGACGGCCCUAAGGGUUGUAAACUGCUUUUAUACGGGGGUAAAGCCCGUUACGUGUAGGUGUUUGCAUGUACCGUACGAAUAAGAACCGGCUAAAUCCGUGCCAGCAGCCGCGGUAAUACGGAGGGUUCGGGCGUUAUCCGGAUUUAUUGGGUUUAACGGGUGGGUAGGCGGUAUGAUAAGGUGGUGGUGAAAUGACCGGGCUCAACCCCGGCCUUGCCGCGGAAACUGUCGUGCUUGAGUCUGCGUGAGGCAGGCGGAAUGCGUGGUGUAGCGGUGAAAUGCUUAGAUAUCACGAAGAACCCCGAUUGCGAAGGCAGCUUACUGAAGCGGAACUGACGCUGAGGCACGAAAGCGUGGGUAGCGAACAGGAUUAGAUACCCGAGUAGUC
rnacentral:rRNA from 1 species